CUUUCUCCCCGCCGCAUUCCCGGUGUCGACUUACUAGCUGCAAGCCUCUGCCUGCCUUCCUGCGCGCCGUUCCCCGCUAGUCGCUGCUGCUGGCGCGCACUCGCCGGGUUUUUCCUCCCACGGCCUCGAGAUGGUGGUGAAUGUGGCACGGAGGAGCCGGGCCUUCCAACCCGGUGGGCCCGAGCUCCGAAAGGCCCCCUCGGCAGUGAGAGGGGCGGGAGCCCGCGGGGGCCGCGCCCUUCUCUCGCUUCGGACUGCGCAACGCUGCGCUCUGGGCUGACAGGCGGAUAAAACGGUCCCAUCAAGACUGAGAAAAAGCACACCAGCUAUUGGCACAGCGUGGGCAGUGGGGCCUACAGGAUGACUGACUUAGUCUACAGAGAUCCCGGCGUACUUAAGCAGGUAGUAAUGAUGGACAGGUGAGGCUUUAGGCGGCCGCCCUGGGAUCUGAAUUGCCCCUUGGCCCUUAUCGAAGCUGCAGCUGCUUCCGCAUAGCUGCUGUGGUCAAAAAGGAGCCCAGAGUGACAGUUUUCCUUGACGGUCGCCGUUCUGUUUGUUGUAACUGAUCUGCAACAUUUUGGGAAAAUACAGUUCCAUUGUACCUGCCACCUUUCAGCUGUAGCCAGAGACCUUUAUCAAAAUGGGCUUGUUUCCACAGAACAGCAGAACGGUUGGGGGUUUGCAUGUACAGUUAACCAGCAUAAGACUCGUACUGGGAAAAUCCAGCUGGGAUGUGACACAGCUUAACUGAUAGCUUAAGGCAUCAGUAUUGGGACCAAAGGCUGGUCAGAUUUGUAUCAUUCUGAGGACCAAAUGAUGGGAACAAUAAAAUUGUUCAUGACAGUUGUUCUCAUUUUGCUGUCCAGAUGAAGACUCUUAAGAUGACAGAAGGUGAUUUUUCUGGUGAUCGAGGACUUCCGGGGUAAUGACAGUGAUGAAAUGCAGGGGACCUGGUAGGUUUCUUUUGGAGACUAACUGGGGGCUGCCUGGUGGGACAGAACAGCAUGUUUCCAAGGGCUGUGGCUGGUCAUAGCCAUGGGAUCUCCAACUGCAUGCAAGAGCAACCUGGAAAGACUUUGACAGCGCAGGUCAGUACAAUACCUGCAAGCUGCCACUCAGCUUUCCUAUAAUGUUUCAGGACCAGGGCUGGAAGCCUUCCAUGUGUCAACUUCAAUGUAGAUGGGUUUUUUUUUUUUUUUUUUUUUGAGACGGAGUCUUGCUCUGUCACCCAGGCUGCUGGAGUGCAGUGGCAUGAUCUCGGCUCAUGGCAACCUCUGCCUCCUGGGUUCAAGCGACUCUCCUACCUCAUCCUCCCGAGUAGCUGGGAUUACAGGUGCCCACCAUCACACCCAGCUAAUUUUCUUGUAUUUUUAGUAGAGAUGGUUUUCACCAUGUUGGCUAGAUGGGUCUCGAACUUCUGACCUCGGGUGAUCCGCCCGACUCGGCCUCCCCUUCCAAAGUGCUGGGAUUACAGGCAUGAGCCACCGCUCCUGGCCAGUUUAGUUUUCACGCUAAGCUUUUUGUUCUGCAGGUUGCCCCCAAGUUUCCUGGCAGUGUGUGAUACUGAGGAGGUGAGCUUGUUUCUGGAGCUGUGCUUUAAGAUUCAUGUUACAUGUAAAGCUGUCCUCAUUUGUGACUAUGGACCUAUGGAGUUGGGACAAUCUCUAUGGGAAGCAGAAGGCAAGGACCCCGGUCAUUUUAGGUAGAAACAACAGCAUGCUAAUGCAAAAAAUUAUGCAGUGUGCUACUGAACUUCAGAGGUGAUCAAUAAAAGAAGAAUAAAAAGACUAAUAAAAG
rnacentral:lncRNA from 10 species